GCAGGGGUUGCAGGGGUACGGCUGGGGCACGUACUGCGGGUAGUACUGCGGCGGUGGCGGCGCCGGGGCAGGCUCAGGGGCCUUGCCGCAGGAGCAGCAGUGGCACCCGCCGUGGCCGUGGUGGCAGCAGCAGUCGGACGGCCACGCCGGGUACGGGUACGGGUACGGCCACGGGUAAGGGAUCUCCACCACCUUGGGCGGCGGCGGGGCGGGCUGCUCCUUGGGUGGUGGGGGCUUCUCCUUGGGUGGCUCCUCCUUGGGUUUCUCCUUGGGUGGCUCCUCCUUGGGUUUCUCCUUGGGCGGCUCCUCAACAAUCGCCGGCGGCGGCGGGGCAGGCUCCUCCUUCUUCUCCGGCGGCGGCGGGGCCGGCUCCUCCUUCUUGGGCUCCUCCUUCUUCUCCGGCGGCGGCGGCGGCGGAGGCUCGACGAUCUCGAUCUGCUUGAUGAUCUUGCACGCCUUGCAGCAGAGCUUGUCGGCGAGC
rnacentral:lncRNA from 1 species